UAAAGUCAAGACUCCUGAAAUGAUUGUCCAGAAACCUAAAAUCUCCAUGCAGGAUGUGGAUCUGAGCCUUGGGUCCUGUAAACUGAAAGGAAAUAUGAAGGUAUCUGCUCCUGAGGUGAAAGGUGGCGUUAAAGGCCCUCAGGUGGCAGUUAAAGGCUUCGGAGUGGACACUGAGACACCAAACUUAGAGGGGACCUUAACGGGACCCAAGCUCAGCAGCCCUUCUGGAAAAAUAGGGACCUGUAGGAUUUCUAUGGCAGAUGUAGACUUAAAUGUAGCUGCACCUAAAGGGAAAGGGGGUAUAGAUGUCACUCUCCCCAAA
rnacentral:lncRNA from 1 species